GCCCGGCUUGCUCAGUUGGUAGAGCAUGAGACCCUUAACCUCAGGAUUGUGGGUUUGAGCCCCACGGUGAGAG